GGAUAAAAGCUACCCCGGGGAUAACAGGCUGAUCUCCCCCAAGAGUCCACAUCGACGGGGAGGUUUGGCACCUCGAUGUCGGCUCAUCGCAUCCUGGGGCUGUAGUCGGUCCCAAGGGUUGGGCUGUUCGCCCAUUAAAGCGGUACGCGAGCUGGGUUCAGAACGUCGUGAGACAGUUCGGUCCCUAUCCGUCGCGGGCGCAGGAAAUUUGAGAGGAGCUAUCCUUAGUACGAGAGGACCGGGAUGGACGCACCGCUGGUGUACCAGUUGUCCCGCCAGGGGCACCGCUGGGUAGCUAUGUGCGGACGGGAUAAGCGCUGAAAGCAUCUAAGCGUGAAGCCCCCCUCAAGAUGAGAUUUCCCACCGCGUCAGGCGGGUAAGAUCCCUCGAAGAUGACGAGGUCGAUAGGUCCGAGGUGGAAGCGUGGCGACACGUGGAGCU
rnacentral:rRNA from 1 species